UGGGCUAUAGCUCAGUGGUAGAGCAUUUGCCUAGCAUGUAGGAAGCCCUGGGUUCAGUCCCUAGUACAG
rnacentral:tRNA from 1 species